rnacentral:rRNA from 1 species
GACGAACGCUGGCGGCGUGCUUAACACAUGCAAGUCGAACGGAAAGGCCCUGCUUUUGUGGGGUGCUCGAGUGGCGAAAGGGUGAGUAACACGUGAGUAACCUGCCCUUGACUUUGGGAUAACUUCAGGAAACUGGGGCUAAUACCGGAUAGGAGCUCCUGCUGCAUGGUGGGGGUUGGAAAGUUUCGGCGGUUGGGGAUGGACUCGCGGCUUAUCAGCUUGUUGGUGGGGUAGUGGCUUACCAAGGCUUUGACGGGUAGCCGGCCUGAGAGGGUGACCGGCCACAUUGGGACUGCGAUACGGCCCAGACUCCUACGGGAGGCAGCAGUGGAGAAUAUUGCACAAUGGGCGGAAGCCUGAUGCAGCAACGCCGCGUGCGGGAUGACGGCCUUCGGGUUGUAAACCGCUUUCGCCUUUGACGAAGCGUGAGUGACGGUAAUGGGUAAAGAAGCACCGGCUAACUACGUG